UUUUAGCAAAAAAACAAAAAACAAAAAAACGAUAGUAUAUGAAAUAUGUAUAUAGUGUUAUUUGUAUACAAAGUCAAAAUUCUCUGAAUUUUAUAUCAAUUCUUUAAGAUUAAUAAAGGACCACUAUAUUACUCUUAUCACAUGGCUUCUUACUUUGAUCAGCACAUGGAUUCUUACUUUGAUCAAGCCGCCCCUAGUGCAUUAUCUAGAAUAAUUAUUAAGAUAAAGACUAAGAAC
rnacentral:lncRNA from 1 species